CUCGGAUCAGGUAGGGAUACCCGCUG
rnacentral:ncRNA from 2 species